UUUUAUCUUUAUGUUCUUCUUAUCUCAGGUGUCUAGCUAGGUAUGAUGUUGAACUUUCACAGAAUGGACCCUCAGGUCCUUUUACAAAAAUCAAUCCCAGACAUUCAGUCGUCACUGCAUUUAUUUAUGAAACAGACUCUGAAAGUAAAGUUGAAGGUUAUUACAGAGUGAGAGCAGUAGAUUAUUGGAACAGAGGGGGAGACUACUCUGACCCUGUACAGUACAAAGUACAGAAAAGAUGAGAUUACUUCCUGAUAUGUUUUUAGAUGCAAUAUGAAUUGAUGUUUGUUACAAAGACACAAUUAUUUGUUUAUAUAUUUAUAAUUUGUACAUAACUAAAACAUUUCCAAUCCAGUAUUUCUAAUUUAUAUUGUUAUUUUAAAAUGGGCUUAACUGUCAAAGGUUCCUCAGUGACUGGAAGAGAUACAAAAGGCAGAUGGAGUUUUAAGCUCACCCAUUGGACCAGUACGUUCAUAACUCUGUUAUAUGACUAAUACAAUUACCAUAUCAUAACAAUGUUCAUAUGACAUGUUUAACUUGUAGGGAGAUUUAAUUAGAUGAUUUAGUAAGAUUCCAAUAUUUCUUAAUGUUAACCUAAUUUAAAGAUGAGGCUGCUGAGUGAUUCAUGAUUUGUACAGCUUCAUAAUUAUAAAUGUAAAAUGUAAUAAAAAAAA
rnacentral:sRNA from 1 species